CCCAAGAGAUCGGGAUAACACCUGGAAACAGAUGCUAAUACCGGAUAACAACAGAUGAUGCCUAUCAACUGUUUAAAAGNUGGUUCUGCUAUCACUCUUGGAUGGACCUGCGGUGCAUUAGCUAGUUGGUAGGGUAACGGCCUACCAAAGGCGAUGAUGCAUAGCCGAGUUGAGAGACUGAUCGGCCACAUUGGGACUGAGACACGGCCCAAACUCCUACGGGAGGCAGCAGAC
rnacentral:rRNA from 1 species